rnacentral:rRNA from 1 species
AUUGAACGCUGGCGGCAUGCCUUAAACAUGCAAGUCGAACGGUAACAGGUCUUCGGAUGCUGACGAGUGGCGAACGGGUGAGUAAUACAUCGGAACGUGCCUAGUAGUGGGGGAUAAUUACUCGAAAGAGUGGCUAAUACCGCAUGAGAUCUACGGAUGAAAGCAGGGGAUCGCAAGACCUUGUGCUACUAGAGCGGCCGAUGGCAGAUUAGGUAGUUGGUGGGAUAAAAGCUUACCAAGCCGACGAUCUGUAGCUGGUCUGAGAGGACGAUCAGCCACACUGGGACUGAGAAACGGCCCAGACUCCUACGGGAGGCAGCAGUGGGGAAUUGUGGACAAUGGGCGCAAGCCUGAUCCAGCAAUGCCGCGUGCAGGAUGAAGGCCUUCGGGUUGUAAACUGCUUUUGUACGGAACGAAAAGCCCCGGGUUAAUACCCUGGGGUCAUGACGGUACCGUAAGAAUAAGCACCGGCUAACUACGUGCCAGCCGCCGCCGUAA